rnacentral:lncRNA from 1 species
AGUGCUCCACUUCCAGCCGGAAGAGGUGCGUCCGGGCAGAGCACCAGCGCGCGCUUCCCUUCUGCUGCAGCUAACAUUGGCGGGAACCUGAAAGGUUGGCUGGAGCUGUGCAGGCUGUCAGUCGCGAUGGCGUCGCGUCGCGGGGCGCUCAUCGUGCUGGAGGGUGUGGACCGUGCUGGCAAGACCACGCAGUGCCUCAGGCUGGUGACCGCGCUGUGCGCCUCGGGCCACAGAGCGGAGCUGCUGCGUUUCCCUGGUGCGCGGGCG